rnacentral:rRNA from 1 species
AGCGAACGCUGGCGGCAGGCCUAACACAUGCAAGUCGAACGGACUCUUCGGAGUUAGUGGCGGGCGGGUGAGUAACACGUGGGAACGUGCCUUUAGGUUCGGAAUAAGCCCGGGAAACUGGGUCUAAUACCGAAUGUGCCCUUCGGGGGAAGGAUUUAUCGCCUUUAGAGCGGCCCGCGUCUGAUUAGCUAGUUGGUGGUGUAAUGGACCACCAAGGCGACGAUCAGUAGCUGGUCUGAGAGGANGACCAGCCACAUUGGGACUGAGACACGGCCCAAACUCCUACGGGAGGGCAGCAGUGGGGAAUCUUGCGCAAUGGGCGAAAGCCUGACGCANCCAUGCCGCGUGUAUGAUG